rnacentral:rRNA from 1 species
UACAGAGGGGGCAAGCGUUGUUCGGAAUUACUGGGCGUAAAGGGCGCGUAGGCGGCCUGUUAAGUCGAACGUGAAAUCCCCGGGCUCAACCCGGGAACUGCGUCCGAUACUGGCAGGCUUGAAUCCGGGAGAGGGAUGUGGAAUGCCCGGUGGAGCGGUGAAAUGCGUAGAGAUCGGGCGGAACACCAGCGGCGAAGGCGGCAUCCUGGCCCUAUCCUGACGCUGAGGCGCGAGAGCGUGGGAGCAAACCGG